GACAAACUCAUCAUAUUACAGAUUUUACACUCCGGUUCAACUGAAAGCGGCUCUCAGCUGUUCCAAUAGCUGGCAUUAUCUUCUGGAGGAACUUCAUCACAGAAAGUGAGCUUGAGGUGGGAUGGAAAGUGGGAUGGAGCUUAUCCUUAUGGUGGUAGGGAUCUGCGGAAGCAUCUGUCUUUCUUUGACCAUCGUGGUUAUCUGUGGUGUGUGUUUUUCAGUAAGUGAAUAAUAACUUAUAUUCAUGUCUCUUUAUAUCUGUCAUGAUGUGAAUAAUUUGAGGAAAACAAUCUGUCCAAUACAAUAAUUCAGGGCACUAUGAUGCUCACAUUUCUAAUACAGUCUGUAGAUACAUUUGUCUUUGUGUCUUUCAACAUAACUUUAAUCAAUGAUUAUUACAAUUAAGGUAUUUCUUCAGUAUUCUCAAUGAACAGGAACUUGUAGGUUUUAACUGGAAGAUGUGAAACACAUUAUGGACCCUCAUGUUAUGUGGUAACUUGAGGCAGACAGAAACAGGGUUAAUUAGGCCUCGAUUUCAAUUUACCUCAAUUCGAUUCAGUGUUAUUUAUAUAGCUGACAAUCAUAACAACAGUUACCUCAAGGCCCUACAGUACUACAAAGAAACACUAUCAAUCAUAUGAGCCCUAUAAUCAAGCACUUUGGCAACAGUUGCAAGGAAAAACUCCCUUUUGACAGGAAGAAACCUCAAGCAGCACCAGGGUCAGGGAGGGGAGGCCAUCUGCUGUGAUCAGGAUUCAGGGUCACCUGGUCAAGCCCUAGCUAUGUGCUUUAGCAAAAAGGUACGUUUUAAGCCUAAUCUUAAAAGUAAAGAGGGUGUCUUUCUCCCAAUUUCUCCCAGUAAGCUGGUUCCACAGAAGAGGGUCCUGAAAGCUUAAGGCUCUGCCUCCAGAGUACAAAGUAAUUUAGGCAGGAAACAAUGUGGGCUACUUUAGGAAAAAAAAAAGAUCAACAAAGGUUAAUAUUACUGUGUAACCUUAAGAUGGCGAUAGACCAGCAACAAAGUCCAGGGUUCCUGCCAUGUGGGGUAGUGGACCAGUGAUUUAAGCCCCCAGGUAAGUCAGCCAAUAGUAUAGGAGGAAGGCAGUCAAAAUUAAUCAAGCAUGGGGACUACCUACUUGUCACCCGUUGAGAUGUUUCGCCUUUUUGAGAUAAGUGAUGCUUUUAUGGUCAGUCCAGACGAUGAAUGGGUGCUCAGCUCCUUCCAGUCAGUGUUUCCACUCAUUGUUAUAUUCUGCUGGUGGGAGGCAGUGAGAAUAAAAGGCACAUGAGUGCAUCUCACCCUCCUUUUGUUGGGAGAGAACAAGGCCCACUCUGGUGGUGUCCGGUUGGAUGUGGAUGGGUGUUGGGGUAAAUAACUCUUUGGGCUAAGAAAAAGGCUUUUGCUUCUGACUACUGAAAAGGGAUUUUGAAAAGUCAUGUGAGUAAGUGGGAUCAAUCUGACUAUGGUUCCAGAUGAAGCAGAGAUAGAAGUCUCCAGGAAAACUCCAAAGUCCAGGAAACCUUGUACAAAACUGAACAUUAGACAUGGCACAGUCUGAUCAAUGAGGUCUAAACUCCUAAACUCCUCAUGAUAUGCCACUCAUGUCUUCAUUCUCAUGUCAUGCUCAGAAACAUUUCCACAAUAAUAAUUAAAGUAAAAGCAAGUGGAAAAAUGUAUGUUGUCACUACAAAAACAUUUUAUAAAAAGAGAGUUAGUUUAAGACGUGUAAUGUAUAUAUUACUGCAUUAAUGCAUUUUUUUUCUGUUGCAGCUGCGAUGGGAUCAGGCUCCUGUCACAUAUUACACAAGCCUCCUUGUCUUCAAUCUAUUCCAGUUCCCAUUUGUUAUGGCCGUGAAGAUCAGCGAUACAUCCUUCAGUAUUCCUCUUGUCAUUUAUCUCUCUGGUUUGAUGGCCACUCUUUACUUCAAGAUGUGCAUUGCUCUGGAAAGGUAUUUUUUCAUCGCAUUCCCGCUGUUGAACUGCAUCAGGCAACCAAAAGGUUCUGUGCUGGUCUUUGUUUUGGUCUGGGUCCUUUGUUUUGUUAGUGCUGCUCUUGCUGUAACCAUAGAAGACUGUUCACGCUUAAUCAUUCAUGCCUUCUUUCCUGCCCCCGUGUUAAUCUUCUGUUUAGCUGGAACUAUCAAAGCCCUGCCGGCUGCCACAUCAGUGUCCACUGAGGAAAAGCGAAGAAUUGUGGGAACUUUGGUUUUGUUGCUAUUUAACUACUUUCUGAUAAACCUACCUGCAGUUAAUCUAUCAAUAUAUCUAACUGGCAACGUUGACCUAUAUUGCAUUGCAUUCCUAAUUUUUUUUCUUUUCGGUCACUUUGUAGACUUUACUUUGUUUAUUUUCAUGCAGAACGGGCCAGUUGACAAGCUGCUGGCAUGUAUGUGCUACUGCAGCGAGACUGCAGCAGAUAUCAGCAGCAGAUCAUCAGUGUGACUGAUGGUAGCACAGGGAGUUGGGUUCAUGCAUUCAGAGACAAAGAGAGAAAGAGAUGGGGACUCACAUGAAGGUAGAGCUUAGAGAUUAGAGUGAAUUAAGCAAACACCAUCAUCUGCAAAUAGACAUCAGACAGCUCCAGGGAUUUAGAACUGCUGCUCUCAGCUGAAGCAUCUUUGGCUAUUGACCACCUGGCAUCCAGUUCUCAGUCAAUCUGAACCCGCCUAACAGGAAGCAUUGUUUUAUUGGAUAAAUGGAUGAUAUGAAUGAAUUAAUUCUCCUGUACUCGUUCUAUUUUUAGAUAGUAAAUAAAGGUAGAAUUUUAAAAAAUAGUCCUUUAUCAAUGUUACAUUUACAUUUCAGCCUUUCUGGCACUUUUUUGAGUUUUGUGUUCCUCACAAUAACAUUUGUGUUUCCUCUGAUCUACUAGUUAUGAUUCCAUUAUGUACUACUAGUAAUAUGAAAUAUGUACCUGCAUACGUGCUUUGGCUGUGUUGGCUACCUGAAUAUAGUGAUUCAAUGUUGAGACUUUUUUUUGAAAACUUCUUUUACAUGUUGGAUUAAAAAAAU